UGGGGAAUUUUGGACAAUGGGGGAAACCCUGAUCCAGCCAUCCCGCGUGUGCGAUGAAGGCCUUCGGGUUGUAAAGCACUUUUGGCAGGAAAGAAACGUCAUGGGUUAAUACCCCGUGAAACUGACGGUACCUGCAGAAUAAGCACCGGCUAACUACGUGCCAGCAGCCGCGGUAAUACGUAGGGUGCAAGCGUUAAUCGGAAUUACUGGGCGUAAAGCGUGCGCAGGCGGUUCGGAAAGAAAGAUGUGAAAUCCCAGAGCUCAACUUUGGAACUGCAUUUUUAACUACCGGGCUAGAGUGUGUCAGAGGGAGGUGGAAUUCCGCGUGUAGCAGUGAAAUGCGUAGAUAUGCGGAGGAACACCGAUGGCGAAGGCAGCCUCCUGGGAUAACACUGACGCUAAUGCACGAAAGCGUGGGGAGCAAACAGG
rnacentral:rRNA from 1 species